CUAAAAGACACGGCAGAGUUUGUGAGGGCUGGAACAAGUCUGUGCCACUGUCAGUUGGGGGGGAAGAAGGGGAACCACCCGUCCAUCACCUGACUGCAAAAAAUGUUCUACAAUUGUUCCUGCAUGAGAAUCAGAUAUUGCCCGCAAACUUGGAUGGCAUGUAAAACAGAUAUUAACAAGUGAUAAGAUUGUCCCUUCUAGUGCUACAAAUCCAGUCCUGGGCGACUUUUGCAUUCUGGUUUCACAGGAAAGCAUCCGGGCGGGUUUUGAGUAUCUACAGAGAAGGAGACUCCACAACUUCUCUGGGCAGCCUGUUCCAGUCCUCUGUCACCCUCAAAGUAAGAAGUUCUUUCUCGUGUUCAGAUUGAACGUCUUGUGUUCCAGUUUGUGCCUAUACCCCUCGUCCUGUCACUGUGCACCACCAGAAAGAGUCUGGCCACAUACACUUGACACCCACCCUUUAAUUUAAAAGUAUUGAUAGGACUCCCUCUCAGUCUCUACCAGGAUGAGCAGUCCCAGCCUUUCUUCAUAUGGGAGAUGCU
ensembl:lncRNA